GAUGAACGCUAGCGGCAGGCCUAACACAUGCAAGUCGAGGGGUAGAGUUCUUCGGGACUUGAGACCGGCGCACGGGUGCGUAACGCGUAUGCAAUCUACCUUAUACAGGGGAAUAGCCCAGAGAAAUUUGGAUUAAUGCCCCAUAGUGUUAUCGAAUCGCAUGGUUUGAUAACUAAAGUUCCAACGGUAUAAGAUGAGCAUGCGUCCCAUUAGUUAGUUGGUAAGGUAACGGCUUACCAAGACAAUGAUGGGUAGGGUCCUGAGAGGGAGAUCCCCCANACUGGUACUGAGACACGGACCAGACUCCUACGGGAGCAGCAGUGAGGAAUAUU
rnacentral:rRNA from 1 species